rnacentral:rRNA from 1 species
UACAGAGGCCUCGAGCGUUUAGGCGGAAUCACUGGGCUUAAAGCGUGUGUAGGCGGACUUCUAAGUACCUUGUGAAAUCCCACGGCUCACCCGUGGAACUGCUUGGUAUACUGGUCGUCUUGAGCCUUCUAGGGGCGAGUGGAACAAAUGGUGGAGCGGUGAAAUGCGUAGAUAUCAUUUGGAACGCCAAUGGUGAAAACAACUCGCUGGGGAAGUGCUGACGCUGAGACACGAAAGCCAGGGGAGCGAACGGG